rnacentral:rRNA from 1 species
UUGAAGGUGAAGGGGUAACCCACGCUGGAGGUAUCAGAAGUGCGAAUGCUGACAUGAGUAACGAUAAAGGGGGUGAAAAACCCCCUCGCCGGAAGACCAAGGGUUCCUGUCCAACGUUAAUCGGGGCAGGGUGAGUCGACCCCUAAGGUGAGGCCGAAAGGCGUAAUCGAUGGGAAACAGAUUAAUAUUUCUGUACUUCCGCUAACUGCGAUGGAGAGACGGAGAAGGCUAGGCUAGCGCGGCGUUGGUAGUCCGCGUUUAAGGUGGUAGGUUGAUUUCUUAGGCAAAUCCGGGAAAUCGCACUUUAGUGUGCAGACUGAGAGCUGAUGACGAGGUCCUAAGGGACUGAAGUAGUUGAUGCCAUGCUUCCAGGAAAAUCUUCUAAGCUUCAGGUUAGUGGGAAUCGUACCCCAAACCGACACAGGUGGUCGGGUAGAGAAUACCAAGGCGCUUGAGAGAACUCGGCUGAAGGAACUAGGCAAAAUGGUACCGUAACUUCGGGAGAAGGUACGCUCCUGUUGGUGAUGAGACUUGCUCUCUAAGCUGACGGGAGUCGCAGAUACCAGGUGGCUGCAACUGUUUAUCAAAAACACAGCACUGUGCAAACUCGCAAGAGGAAGUAUACGGUGUGACGCCUGCCCGGUGCCGGAAGGUUAAUUGAUUGGGUUAUCGCAAGAGAAGCUCAUGAUCGAAGCCCCGGUAAACGGCGGCCGUAACUAUAACGGUCCUAAGGUAGCGAAAUUCCUUGUCGGGUAAGUUCCGACCUGCACGAAUGGCGUAAUGAUGGCCACGCUGUCUCCAGCCGAGACUCAGUGAAGUUGAAAUUGCGGUGAAGAUGCCGUAUACCCGCGGCUAGACGGAAAGACCCCGUGAACCUUUACUAUAGCUUGGCACUGAACAUUGAACCUACAUGUGUAGGAUAGGUGGGAGACUAUGAAGUUGUGACGCUAGUCAUGAUGGAGUCGUCCUUGAAAUACCACCCUUGUAGUUUUGAUGUUCUAACCGCGGCCCCUUAUCGGGGUUCGGGACAGUGCCUGGUGGGUAGUUUGACUGGGGCGGUCUCCUCCCAAAGAGUAACGGAGGAGCACGAAGGUUGGCUAAGUACGGUCGGACAUCGUACGGUUAGUGCAAUGGCAUAAGCCAGCUUAACUGCGAGACAUACACGUCGAGCAGGUACGAAAGUAGGUCAUAGUGAUCCGGUGGUUCUGAAUGGAAGGGCCAUCGCUCAACGGAUAAAAGGUACUCCGGGGAUAACAGGCUGAUACCGCCCAAGAGUUCAUAUCGACGGCGGUGUUUGGCACCUCGAUGUCGGCUCAUCACAUCCUGGGGCUGAAGUCGGUCCCAAGGGUAUGGCUGUUCGCCAUUUAAAGUGGUACGCGAGCUGGGUUCAGAACGUCGUGAGACAGUUCGGUCCCUAUCUGCCGUGGGCGUUGGAUGAUUGAAGGGAGCUGCUCCUAGUACGAGAGGACCGGAGUGGACGAACCGCUGGUGUUCGGGUUGUCAUGCCAAUGGCAUUGCCCGGUAGCUACGUUCGGAAUCGAUAACCGCUGAAAGCAUCUAAGCGGGAAGCGAGCCCUGAGAUGAGUCAUCCCUAGGAAUUUAAUUCCUCUAAAGAGCCGUUCGAGACUAGGACGUUGAUAGGCAUGGUGUGUAAGCGUUGUGAGGCGUUGAGCUAACAUGUACUAAUGACUCGAGAGGCUUAACCA